GACGAACGCUGGCGGCGUGCCUAAUACAUGCAAGUAGAACGCAGUUGCGCACGGGUGAGUAACGCGUAGGUAACUGCCUGGUAGCGGGGGAUAACUAUUGGAAACGAUAGCCAAUACCGCAUACUACUAGAUGGAUCUGCGUUGGAGUACCUAGUUGGGGGGGUAACGGCUAACCAAGGCAACGAUACAUAGCCGACCUGAGAGGGUGAGUGGCCACACGGGGACUGAGACACGGCCCAGACUCCGACUGGAGGCAGCAGUAGGGAAUCUUGGGAAAUGGACGGAAGUCUGACCGAGCAACGCCGCGUGAGUGAAGAAGGUUUUCGGAUCGUAAAGCUCUGUUGUAAGGGAAGCGGUAUCUUACCAGAAAGGGCCGGCUAACUACUGGCCAGAAGCCGCGGAAAUA
rnacentral:rRNA from 1 species